AUGAGCCAGAAAUUGUAGUUUUUCUAGGUGGCUCCCAUUUUGGCUGUAGUUUUUCCAAGCACGUGAAUGACAGCACGUUCUUUGGUAUUUUUCUCCGGAGGGAAACCGAGUGGAUUAUUGACUGAAGCACGCCAGCUAAACUGAGUUUUUAUGGAUAUAAAGAAGGGCAUUAUCGAACAAAAGGACCAUUUGUAAUGUAACUGGGACCUUUUGGAGUGCCAACAGAAGAUCUUCAAAGGAAAAGUCUCCAGUGGCUGCUUGUAACGUGACACCACUGUCCGCCUCAAGCCCUCCACCAGCUCCAUCAUUCUCUAGACUUCUGUCCAGCUCAAAAUCUUCACCCAUCAUACAUUGCCUCUUGCAUGGGAGAUCCAAAAGGCCUCUGCCGUUGCUCAACCUUCUAGAAGGCAGUGAAAGUUCUGUCUUGUGUUCAGAAGGGACCAGCGGUGCCAAUUCUGUCUGUGGUGAAAUAGAUUCUGCACUUGUUGGAGCAUAUCAAGCAC
rnacentral:lncRNA from 1 species